rnacentral:lncRNA from 1 species
AAGCCAUAAUAAGCUUGUGUAGGGUUUUUGGAGUCCAAUAUGACAAGAUUGGUGUGUAUGACUGAGUAUAAGAAAGAGAAAUUCAACCCGGAUCCUGAUUGCUAAAGUAGCGUAGAUGGAAUACAAGAACACUCAUAGGGACUUUGUCCUCCCUUACAAAACUUGGGGAAGCCAUAAUAAGCUUGUGUAGGGUUCUUGGAGUCCAAUAUGACAAGAUUGAUGUGUAUGACUGAGUCUAAGAAAGAGAAAUGCAACCCGGAUCCUUAUUGCUAAAGUAGCGUAGAUGGAAUACAAAAACACUCAUAGGGACUUCGUCCU